CUCAAUUUUGCUUUCAUUCCGAUCUUAUGUUUGCCACAUUCUUCACCUACAAAGCGACCUCCUGAUUUUUGACUCAGCUCACAUGUGAUUUGAUUCUUGCAAAACCCUUUUGGAACUCAACUGUCUAAAGACCUAGAAAUGUGUUUCUGUAGGACUGCAAAAAAUUGCACUAUGAAUGGCAGCCUAAUAGUUCUCUUAAUGCAGAGCAGGGAAGUGUUUCUUUCUUCUACUGCCUCUCUUUGCUGGUACAGAAGACUCACGAAAUCUCAACAUGGUGUUUGGCCCUUUCCCACAUGCGGAAAACUAAGGCUAACACAGUCACCGUUGGGCCAUUCUCUGCUUACACUGUAAGAAGUGGAAUUACCAGGGCACAAGCUGCACUGCUCAUAGCUGGCAUACUUCUCUAUGGAAUGCUGAGAAAAGGGAGAUAUGCAUUGCUUCUUGCCAACCUUUGCAAGCAAACUGAGAAAACUACGGGAGGCCCUCUUUAUUCAGGAUUCAGCUUAAUUUCUGUUGAGCCUGGAAAAGGGCUUGAUCCCUGAUGGCUUACACAAAGCAUGGAGAUGCACACUUGACUAUACACAGCUGCAGUAUCAUUUGGGUUCACAAGCUUGUCUUCUACACAAGAAAAUCUGCAUCCUUCAUACCAUCAUGUUAAGAAGUGUAAUUUGUGUUCCGGCCAGGGCAAUUAGGCAGGAGAAGGAAAUAAAGGGUAUUCAAUUAGGAAAAGAGGAAGUCAAAUUGUCCCUGUUUGCAGAUGGCAUGAUUGUAUAUCUAGAAAACCCCAUUGUCUCAGCCCAA
rnacentral:lncRNA from 1 species